CCGGCGACCGGCGGACGGGUGCGUGACGCGUAUGUAACCUACCUUUGACAGGGGGAUAACAUCGAGAAAUUGGUACUAAUACCCCAUAACAUCACCGGAGGCAUCUUCGGUGGUUGAAAACUCAGGUGGUCAGAGAUGGACAUGCGUUGUAUUAGCUAGUUGGUGAGGUAACGGCUCACCAAGGCGACGAUACAUAGGGGGACUGAGAGGUCAACCCCCCACAUUGGUACUGAGACACGGACCAAACUCCUACGGAAGGCAGCAG
rnacentral:rRNA from 1 species